AAAAACUACAUUUAUCUGAAAACAGAUGAAGACAGGAAGAUUUCUCCUGGAACUUUCCUCCACGUUUAUGCCUAGAUUUCUCAGAUUCAUAUCUGAGCACGAAUGACUUAAAGGGCGGAGCCAAAAGUCACCUGAUCAAAUAAAACUUUAUUUAAAAAAGAAAAAAAGCAGCUUUUAUGGUUUAGGUAACCCAAAGAGAUUAACAAUUAAAGACUAAACAAACGUAACAAUAAAAUUAAAUAAAACCUUUGCUGCAGACGUCAGAAAGAAGCAAUUAUCUUAAUCAUUUUAACGCAUGGACGUUUAAACUUAAUGCUGGAGGUCAGGAGAGAGUUCACUUCCAGCUGUUCAGCUUCUGUGCUUCCGUAAACGAUCUCACUGACUGUAGAAACUGACCAGCUGACUGUGGGUCACAUGACCUGUGUGUGUCCAGCCCUGCGGACCAAUCCUGAAGAGUCAUCUGUCGUUUCCCAUCAAGCUCAGGAUCGGGAUCAUUUCUGCUUUUGCCACCAUCACGAUAACGGCCAUUAUUCUGUGUCUGAGUUUGGGUCUGGAAAAAUACUGGAAGAAGCCGCCAGUGGAAAUGACAAUCGACGACUUCAACCGAGUGAAGUACCAACCCAAACCCUCCCUCACCUGACCUCUGACCUCUGAAGGCUUCUCUUUCUGGAAACAACCAUCGGCCGUCCAGCUGCUGGGAAACGUCCGAGGCUCUUCGUCGUUGUUUUUACAUCACCGGCCACUAGAUGGCAGUAGAGGUUGUCUUUGCGUGUCCCUCUUCACUUCCUUCUCACAGCAGCUUCAUGUUCCUCUUCUGUCUUCAUCUCAGAGGAAACCAGAACCAGGGGCCUCCUCUUUUGGGGUUUUUCCUCUUUUCGGACAAACGUUUGCAAUACAAACAUUGACAAAGAUAAAAAAAAGAAAAUAUGGAAAUAAAGAAACGGUUGUCAGAGGAAGUCCGCGGUCUGUGAAAGAAAGAUGAGGUGUGAAGAUGGAACGGCGUGUUGCGUAAAGUCCCAAAAACAAUCAGGUUGAGGUUGCAAAGCAGAGCUAGGUGUGAUCCGGAGGUUCAUCACGUUCCGUCGUCUCUCCUCUUUGGUGGUGAUGGUUUUCACACGUUUAAAUCGCAUGAAGUCAGCAGAAUGUGAACGCAUUUGUUUAUGGAGGAAACAGAAAAUCCUGGAUUUCAUUUAUCUCCAGAAAUACAAACAUGCUCUCAGGUUUGAUGCUUUGAUACCAUCCUGAUGCAUCAACUCACUAAGUAGAUCAUCAGAAAUCAAAGAAUUGAAACAACAGGAAACCACAAAAGGUCAGUGGUCCAAUUCAGACAAAAUCCUUAAAGCCAAACUUUAUGUAACUGUGUUUAAUGUAUUUAUGUGUGACCAAAAGAUUAAAUAAAAUCAUUUAAAAUCCUGA